GAAGAUUCAGUAUUUAGAAUGCAUUAUGAAACCCAAGUACAUAAGCUAAUAUUACAAUUAGUGAACUGGUUUGUGGCUUAGUUUCACCAACCAAAAUACCACUCUGAUAAUUUUAUAAUAUUCUUUAAUAUUUCCCUUUAAGACAUCUAGGCACUCCUUUUAAUCUUUGUCCUUUACAACUGAUGAGUUUUCUAAUACAGUUAAGGGACGCUUACUUUUAUUAAGAAUUGAGAGUGACUAGAGUUAACCAGGGUAAUCAAAAGUCCAUAAAAAUUAAGAAAAAGUAUUUAUAAUUAAACAAAAAAUUCAUAAAUACACUCAAAUUGUAAAAAAGAGAGAAGCAACCUAAAGUUCCUUUAAUGUCCCCAUGUUCUGCGUGCAUACUCAGUCAUGUCUCUUUGCGAUCUCAUGAACUGUAGCCCACCAGGUUCUUCUGUCCAUGGGAUUUCCCAGGCAAAAACUGGAGUGGGUUGCCAUUUCCUUCUCCAGGAGAUCUUCUUGAGCCAGGGAUUGAAUCCGUAUCACCUACAUCUCCUGGAUUAGCAAGUGGAUUCUUUACCACUUUACCACCUGGGAAUUGGCCAACUAUACUUUCUCAUCUGUGAACAGUUUCCUUAUAUCCCUCAUCCAUUUUCCUAUUCAAUUGCCUUUUUCUUUUUAGGCAUGCCUUAUGUUUCUUUUUUGGUUGCGCUGGGUCUUUGCCGCUGUGUGCGGGCUUUCUCUAGUUGCAGCGAGCGGGGGCUACUCUUCACUGCAUGGUGCAUGGGCUUCUCACUGUGUGUGCAGCGCACAGGCUCUAGGCGCGUGGGUUUCAGUAGUUGUGGCACCCGGCUCAGCAGUUUCGGCUGACUGGUUCUAGAGCACGAGCUUAGUCUCUUCGUGGCAUGUGGAAUCUUCUAGGUCAGAGAUUGAACCUACGUCCGCUGCAUUGGCAGGGGGACUCUUAACCACCGUACCACCAAGGAAGUCCAGGCAUGCCUUAUAUUUUAAAUAUUAAUUGGCCAGCCAUUUAUUUUAUAAAUAUUUUCUUCCUAUCUUUAACUUUGAAAUCUGUUGACAGUAUCUUUUGCCAUAUACAUUCUUGGUUUUAAUUAAAUUGGUGAUUCGUUUCCUUCCUAUUUUUUCUAAGUUAUGUCUUACAUAAGAAGACCCUACUAUUACACAGUAUUAAGAAAAAAUACAGUAUUCAUCAUCAAUAUGUAUAUGAAUUUAUUUUCAAUUUGUAUAAUGUUCUUACUUUCAGUCUAAGGAUAUAAACAGUUCCAUGAUUCUUAAUAUGUGUGACCAAAUUGUUUUCUAAAUGGGUUAAAUAUAGAAUCAGAUGGACAAAAAGCCUGUCAACAACCAUCUUUCUUAGAUUUCAAUCUAGCCUGCAAUCUGAGUUAGCAGGGUAAGAUAAUUUGAAAACAAUCAUUUCUGGAACGUCCCUGGUGGUCCAGUGGGUAAGACUCCAAGCUCCCAAAUCAGGGGGCCCGGGGUUCAAUCCCUGCUUGGGCAACUAGAUUCUGCAUGCAUGCCACACUGAGUCUGCAAACCUCAGUGAAGAUUCUGGGAGCUGCAACUAAGAUGCAGCACAGCCUAAAUAAAUAGACAGAUAGAAAACAAUCAUUUGUGUGAUGAUACAUGGACCUUAUUUGAUCCUAAUCUGAAAUAUAAAAAUGUUACUUCUAAGAAACUGUGGAAGCUGAAACUGACAAUGUGUUUGAUAGUAAGGAAUUAUUAGGUGUGAUAGUGACUUUGUGCUUACUUUUUUUUUUUUUUUUAAGUCUGUCUCACUUAGAGAUAAAAAGAUGUCUAUGAUUUGCUUCAAAACACUCCGGGGCAGUGGGGGAAUAAGAAGAGUAAGAUGAAACUAUUUGACCAUGAGUUGACAGUUUUGAAAGACGAUUGGCUGGUUUCUAGAUACAGCACCCUAAUCAUCUGGUUCCUCAACCUCUGCGUAGACUCAGCAACCUCCUCCCUCCUCCCGCCUCCAGCCAACCCCUGAGAGCGAAGGGCUGGAACGGAAUCCCGCCGCAGCUCCCGCUGGAGGUCGCCAUAUUUCCAGGCCGCGGCCCGUGCUCCCCGGAUCAGCUCCCUUCACGCAGUUCCUUCGAGGCAGCACUCCAAGCAGCCAGCGGGUCUUGGCGCCCAUCAGGCUUGGCUCUCUAGGCCGCCGCUCUUGGCGACGACAGCACAGCCACCGAAAGGUCUCCCGGACACCUUCCGAGGCCUGGGCGGCGCCUCCGCGCUCCCAUUUUGAAAAACUCCCGCCGGUGGCUGUCCUCAGAGGUUGGAGGUGACGUAAGGAGGCGGGUCGCUCCGAAGAGGCUGAGCGGGGCCGAGCAUGCGUGGUAGGCGCCUUAGCCCGCCUGCCCCUGCACGAGGACCGGAAGUGUUUCGGCGUCCUGCAGCUUGGCCGGAAGUGUUGGCAGUUCGGCAUUUGGGGGACCUGCUCCAGACGGAUAAAAAAGGGUUGGGUUCUCAGGAUAAAUGCUCACAGUUGAAGUAAACGUCCUCGCGUGGCUCACGUGUGUCUGUCCAUGGUUGAACAGUCUGCCUCCCAUACUAAAAGUUUCAAGCUUUUGGACAGAACUGAACAGUGUGAACAAGUCUGGUGAUGAAGCUCGGACUAAAUUCUUAAAGUGUCUUAGUUUCACAGUCCCUCGUCCCAUAUAACUUGUAUAUGAAGCCCCAAAACUGGAGCCAAGGUCUGAACAGGUCAUAUGACAGCAAGAACUAUAAUUUAAUCACAUUGUAUCAUAUCACACUAUGUAACACUCUGUAUUUUGCCUGUUGAUAUGUAACAGUUUAUUACAAGCAUUAUUUCCUAAGA